rnacentral:rRNA from 1 species
UAGGGAAUCUUCCACAAUGGACGCAAGUCUGAUGGAGCAACGCCGCGUGAGUGAAGAAGGUUUUCGGAUCGUAAAGCUCUGUUGUUGGUGAAGAAGGAUAGAGGUAGUAACUGGCCUUUAUUUGACGGUAAUCAACCAGAAAGUCACGGCUAACUACGUGCCAGCAGCCGCGGUAAUACGUAGGUGGCAAGCGUUGUCCGGAUUUAUUGGGCGUAAAGCGAGCGCAGGCGGAAGAAUAAGUCUGAUGUGAAAGCCCUCGGCUUAACCGAGGAACUGUAUCGGAAACUGUUUUUCUUGAGUGCAGAAGAGGAGAGUGGAACUCCAUGUGUAGCGGUGGAAUGCGUAGAUAUAUGGAAGAACACCAGUGGCGAAGGCGACUCUCUGGUCUGCAACUGACGCUGAGGCUCGAAAGCAUGGGUAGCGAACAGG